CCUUCUGGAGGACUUGCUGGAAGAGCUAAUGUGCGUAAUGCUUUUGUGGUGACUGGUUGCUGUGGUGAUGCUGCCAAGCAUGUUCCUUGUUAUGUGAGAUUAUCUAAAAACACAGGAGGAUAAUACUCUGCAUCAUCUGGGAGUAGUGAAGAGAAAUCCAAACCUAUCAUAUCUGAGGAAAUGCUGGAUAUUGGAGGAUAAUGGAAUGGCUUGGGAUAGUCUGUUAACAGCGGAGGAAUAGCAGCAGUAUCAACUCUGGCGGACAAUAGUUUAUACAAGAGAACCCUCUUUGUUGGGCUUCGUUGUGUUUCCAACAAGAAUAUAUACUUCAUUUUGGCAGGAGGAUUUUCCACUUCAUCAAAAGAGUUUUUAGUUGUCAAGUCAGCGAUAUCAACUUUUUUCUUGUUUUCCUCAUUGCCCACCAUCUUGGAACAUGGUUUUGUAACAACACCAGAUCUUUCUGUUUUGGUGCGCUGUGGACUUCAGAUUAUCACACCACCCCUCUUAGGCCUCGUGUGCCACAAGGAACCAUCUUCUUGGAGUUUAAUCUCACCUACACCUGAGCAUUCAUCAAGGAUUUCUAUUAAGAGCCCAUCUAGUGUUAGGCUCUCAUAAGAUGCCUUUUUGUUGCAGAUGGAAUGGAUCCAGGUAGGCUUCUGAUAGAAUCAUUCAUUUGAAGAUGAAGAGUAGCAUCAAAACAUUGCAGGUGUGUGCAAGUAGGGAUUGACAGUCUCAUUUUUCACAGAGAGUACAUCAGAGAUGACAGUGAACUUGCCAGUCUGCAGUUAGGAUCCGUACUUAGUUCUUCUUUAAUUAGAGCUCUAGAAUAAUCAGGGUUUUGGAUACCUUUCACUUUUACCCUCUGCAAAAGCAUAGCUGAAGUGAGAUGACAUAUGAGAUACAGAGACAUUGAGUAAUUCUUUCCAAUUUCAGAAGCCCAGGAAAUAGAAAUCUAUUCUGGCACUGCUGACAACAGCCUAUCUAGAGAUGUUAUAUUCAAGGGGCAUCCAGAUUCCUUCUGUUUAAUUCCAUUUGGUGGAGCAUAUCCAGCAAUGGAAACAGCUUCCAAUUUACUUUAAUGCACAAACUGUUAGGGUAAUUAUCUUCUUGAGGGCAGUUUGUCUCUGCUUGCCAUAAUCUUAGCUGCACUUGGACUUGGUAAUCUCUUUUGUCCCCUGGAAAGAAGUCCCUGGAAAUACAAAUUUCUCUGACCUGCUGAGGUGUUAAAGCAAAGAGGAAAAACUAUUCUUGGAACCUCUGAAUACUGCUCUGUACUAAACUUGUAGGCUUGUUAAGUAGUAGUACAUCAAGCACAUUGUAAAAAGGCAGGCUUUUCAGCUGGAUGUCAGGAUGGGCAGGUGGGAUGGAAGGGGAUGGCUGCUGCAUCUCAAAGUGAGCCUUAGUGUCUUGCAGGAGCAUGAAGGUGACAGGCAAGGAAGGAAACUGAGGUGUGACUAAAGCAGAAGGGAGUGGGUGAAUCCCAGCAAUAUCCCACACAGGGUCUGUGGGAGAGGAACUGCUGUCCAGAUGAAAAACAGCAGGUUUUAUAGCUGAUAAAUCCAAAAGUCCUUUGAUUGUCUACGGGUACCUACACCUAUAGAGUUCAUAGAAUCGUAGGGAUUGGAAGGAAUCUUUGAAGCUGAUCUAGUUAUGCCCCCUGCUAAAGCAGGUUCCCUACAGUAGAUUGCACAGGAAAGUGUUCAGGCAGGUCUUGUGUAUCUCCAGAGCAGGAGACACCACAACUUCUCUGGGCAGCCUGUUCCAGUGCUCCACCACCCUCACAGUAAGAAAGUUCUUUCGCAUGUUUUUAUGGAACUUCUUGUGUUUUCGUUCAGGCUCAUUGCCCCUUUUCCUGUCACUGCCACUGUCACUAGGCACCACCAAAAAGAGCCAAGUCCCAUCCACUUGACACCUGCCCAUAGAUAUUUAUAAGCAUUGAUGAGAUUUUUCCCCCCCCAGUCUUCUUCUCCAGGCUGAACAGCCCCAGGUCUCUCAGCCUUUCCUCAUACAGGAGACGCUCCAGGCCCACAGCCAUCUCUGUGGCCCUCUGCUGGACUCUGAGUAGUUCCCUGUCUUGAAUUGGGCGCAGUACUCCAGAUGUGGCCUCACCAGGACAGAGAGGAGGAGGAUCACCUCCCUCAACCUCUGGCCACACUUCUUAAUGCACCCCAGAAUACCAUUGGCCACAAGGGCACACUGCUGAAUCAUGGCCUACCUGUUGUCCACCAUGUCCUUCUCUGCAGAGCUCCUCUUCAGCAGGUCAGGCCCUAACCUGUGCUGACGCAUGUGGUUAUUCCUCACCAGGUGUAGGACCUACUCUUGCUCUGGUUGAAUAUCAUCAGGUUCCUCUCUGCCCAACUCUCAGUCUGUCCAGGUCUCACUGAAUGGCAGCACAGCCUUCUGGUGUGUCAGCCACUCCUCCUGGCUUUGUAUCAUCAGCAAACUUGUUGAGGGUGGACUCUAUCCCUUCAUGCAGGCCACUGAUGAAGAUGUUGAACAAGACUGGAACCAGCACCAACUCUUGGGGAGUACCACUGGUUCCUGGAUUUUUAUCUGAACUGCUGGGCUGCAGCUGCUUUUCAGUAAGUGCAGUGCCCUCGUCAGGAGGUCAUUUCAGUCUGCUUUUAUUAUUCCCAACGAAGCUCAACAGUACUUGUAGUUCAGAAACAUAAAACCUAACACCGUAUUCUGCAGUUCCUUGAAAUCUGCUAUCUUCUGCACACUGAUAGAACCAAGUAUUAUGCUGUGCAUUGUUCAAGUUCUAAAUGCAUAAAAUAUCAGCAGUCUUGAGGAAUCUUUAAUUUGCUGAACAUUUUGAUUCUGCAGAAUAAUAAUAAAACCCUCAGAUGUAACUUCCAGUGUCAUGGUUCCCAUCUCUCAUGCUCUUUGACUUCAGCUGAUGAAGAACUUGCUGGAUCCUACAAGCCCUGGUCCUGCUUUCUCCUCUAGGCAUGCAUGGAUGUGGUCUGCUUUGGGCAGAGCUACCAGAGGUCUCCAGACAGGUGCAAGGACUACCUAGCUGCCAUGUGUUCUCCU
rnacentral:lncRNA from 1 species